UAUUAAUUGAUUAAGCUUUAUCUUCUAUCGUUGAAGAUUCCGAAGCUUAUUUACAUAGCUGUUAAUUAGUUAGUUUGUUCUUUUUUUUUUCUUUUUUUCUCUAUUUUUUUUUUUAGUUUGUUCGUAUCAUUAUAUAUAGUAAAAGAUAGCAAAUACUGUUAAAACAGUAUGAUGAGGAAACAAACAAGAUGCGAAAACAAACAAUCUAUGAGG
rnacentral:lncRNA from 1 species